AGCAGCCGCGGUAAUUCCAGCUCCAAUAGCGUAUAUUAAAGUUGUUGCAGUUAAAAAGCUCGUAGUUGAAUUUCGGGAUCAAUACGCCGGUCGUGCUUAGGUACGUACUGGCGUAAUUGAUUUCCCCCUUCUGACGAACCAUGAUGUCAUUAACUUGGUGUCAUGGGAAAUCAGGACUGUUACUUUGAAAAAAAUUAGAGUGUUUAAAGCAGGCUAACGCUUGAAUACAUUAGCAUGGAAUAAUGGAAUAGGACGUUCGAUCCUAUUUUGUUGGUUUCUAGGAUUGACGUAAUGAUUAAUAGGGAUAGUUGGGGGCAUUAGUAUUCAAUUGUCAGAGGUGAAAUUCUUGGAUUUAUUGAAGACUAACUACUGCGAAAGCAUUUGCCAAGGAUGUUUUCAUUAAUCAAGAACGAAAGUUAGGGAUUGGAAGACGAAUCAGAUACCGUCGUAGUCUUAACCAUAAACUAUGCCGACUAGGGAUCGGAUGAUAGUUAAUUUUUAAUGUACUU
rnacentral:rRNA from 1 species